AUACAUCAAAUUUAAAGCUCAAGGGAGGGUUUUGGUUCAGAGAACCUUUUUUUUCCAUUGUUUCUAUGCUUUGAAUUUAAUAUACCCACCUCCUUUUUGCUGUUGGGUUGGUGGCUAAUUCAGUGCCAGCAUUCUUCAAGGACUCAUCUCUCGCUCUCUCUCUUUAUCACUCUCAUUCAAAUAUGAGAAUCCCAAAUGACAUAUCUGAUAUCUUCACAAAUUACAUCUUCUCCACCUCUCUCCGUAGAAUCUUCUUCUGCUAUCUUCACAUUAUGUUUGUUCUCCAACCUCUUUGGCAUUGUUUUGAGUCAAGGCAUGACCCUAUUUAAAGUGCAUGUUCACCAAGUCUCAACAGUGACAUGAUUUUACAACCUCUUUGGCAUUGAUAUUGCAAUACACGGGAAAUCUCCAUACAAUCUGUCCUCCAUAAACUCCAUAGCAGCAAGAGCCUUGUGUUUUGUUUUGAUGGAUCUUUUAGGGAUCAUUUCUAUGUUGUUUAUGGAUUGUUGUGGAUCAGAUAAGGGUAGAUUUAGGGCAGAAAUUGAUUUUCUGUGUAUUAGUUACUGGUAUUGUAUGUAAAGGUCCACUACUUUUCUCUUUUUCUUUUCUUUGUCAAAACGUUAAGGUUAGGUGCAAGAUUCAGUUUCUUCUUCUCUUAGAAUUUCCUUUACAUAUUCAAAUCCAAUACUUUCCAAGGGAAGAAUUUUAUAGGACUCAUCUAGAAUCUGAAUGAGUCUUUAUAGUGAUCAUGAUAUCAGUGGUCAUGGCCAAAGAACUGUCAAUCCAGCCCUCCAACCAUUCAAAGAAUGGAUUAUUACAUCUUUUCUUGUUCUCUCUAAUGUAUUAUUCAUAGACAAUUGCAGCUUGUCUACUAAUAAAUCUGGAAUCUGAAUGGUUUAGACA